rnacentral:rRNA from 1 species
AACGUAGGAGGCAAGCGUUAUCCGGAUUUACUGGGCGUAAAGCGUGCGCAGGCGGUCUUUUAAGUCAGAUGUGAAAUCCCCGGGCUUAACCUGGGAACUGCGUUUGAAACUGGAAGGCUUGAGUGUGGCAGAGGGGGGUGGAAUUCCACGUGUAGCAGUGAAAUGCGUAGAGAUGUGGAGGAACACCGAUGGCGAAGGCAGCCCCCUGGGCUAACACUGACGCUCAUGCACGAAAGCGUGGGGAGCAAACAGG